CCUACGGGAGGCAGCAGUGGGGAAUAUUGCGCAAUGGGCGAAAGCCUGACGCAGCAACGCCGCGUGGGGGAUGAAGGCCUUCGGGUUGUAAACCUCUUUCAGCAGGGAAGAAGCGAAAGUGACGGUACCUGCAGAAGAAGCACCGGCUAACUACGUGCCAGCAGCCGCGGUAAUACGUAGGGUGCAAGCGUUGUCCGGAUUUAUUGGGCGUAAAGAGCUCGUAGGCGGUUAGUCACGUCGGAUGUGAAAUCCCGGAGCUUAACUCCGGGCCUGCAUUCGAUACGGGCUGACUCGAGUGUUGUAGGGGAGACUGGAACUCCUGGUGUAGCGGUGAAAUGCGCAGAUAUCAGGAAGAACACCGGUGGCGAAGGCGGGUCUCUGGGCAACUACUGACGCUGAGGAGCGAAAGCGUGGGGAGCAAACAGGAUUAGAUACCCUGGUAGUCCACGCCGUAAACGGUGGGCGCUAGGUGUGGGGAACAUUCCACGUUCUCUGCGCCGCAGCUAACGCAUUAAGCGCCCCGCCUGGGGAGUACGGCCGCAAGGCUAAAACUCAAAGGAAUUGACGG
rnacentral:rRNA from 1 species